GGCGAACGGGUGAGUAACACGUGAGUAACCUGCCCUUGACUUUGGGAUAACUUCAGGAAACUGGGGCUAAUACUGGAUAGGAGCUCCUGCUGCAUGGUGGGGGUUGGAAAGUUUCGGCGGUUGGGGAUGGACUCGCGGCUUAUCAGCUUGUUGGUGGGGUAGUGGCUUACCAAGGCUUUGACGGGUAGCCGGCCUGAGAGGGUGACCGGCCACAUUGGGACUGAGAUACGGCCCAG
rnacentral:rRNA from 1 species